CUAUGCCCAGCCCUGCCAGUUUGCACCAGGAGACAAUGUGUUGGUGCUGGUGCCAACAUCUGAGUGUAAGUUCCUUGCUAGCUGGCAUGGUCCCUAUGAAGUGUUGGAGAAAAUAAGCGAUGUCACGUACAAAGUGCAACAACUAGGGAGAAGGAAGACCAUACAGAUUUAUCACAUUGAUCUGCUGAAAAAACUUGUGAUGUUCUUCUUUCUGCAUCCCCUGCCCUGAGGCAGUCGAGUGAUGUCAGUUUUGGGACUGAGCUGACGGCUGCACAACAGCAGGAUCUGCAAGAGCUGGUCUCUCAGAAUACUGAUGUCUUCUCUACCCAACCAGGACACCUUGCCCAACACCACAUAUACACCGAACCAGGGAAGAAGUUAGCCUCCGGCCCUACCGAGUUCCAGAGGCUAGAAGGGCUGCAAUUAAGAUGGAGGGUGGACAAACUAAUUGAGAGACUGGGCAAAGCCUGGUUUCCUAGCACGCUGGACCUAACAAAGGGGUAUUGGCAAGUUCCUCUUGCACCAGGGUCCCGGGAGAAGACCGCCUUUGCCACACCCACUGGGCUGUACCAGUAUACCACCCUGCCGUUUGGUCUACAUGGAGCGCCUGCCACCUUCCAGAGGCUGAUGGACCGGGUCCUCCAGGAGCACAGUGAGUAUGCCAUGGCAUACCUUGAUGAUGUCAUCAUACACAAUCAUCAUCAUACACAUCUGAAGAGGCUGAGGUCCAUGCUUGGGUCUCUAAGAGAGGCCGGGCUUACCACUAACACUAAUAAGUGCAGAUUAGGCCUGGAAGAAGCUGAAUACUUGGGGUUCGCAAUUGGUAGGGGGAGUCUUAAACCUCAGCUUAAGAAAGUGGAAGCAAUACGAGAAUGGCCUCGCCCUACUAUCAAAAAACAGGUCAGGACCUUCCUAGGACUGGCUAGCUAUUAUCGUCGCUUUGUGCCGAACUUUGCUGCUAUUGCCUCUCCCCUGAUAGAUUUAACAAAGAACCAGAAACCAAAUUUUGUAUCAUAUACCACCGUAUCCAUUCUUGUGUUUCUGUUAAAUUAUUGCAAUGAAGGACAUAACAAAGAAACCUUGGCUUUGGUUAUCCCUUCUGAAAUGCACUGUACAGAAAACCAGUUGAACGAUUGAGGUCUUCAUUCAAGUAAUAUUAGUUUACGUACAGUGGGCUCCAGAUUAUUGGCACCCUUGAUAAAUAUGCACAAAAAUGCUAAAAGAAA